rnacentral:lncRNA from 1 species
GCUCCUGUGCAGGACUCAAGUUGCAGCCAGCAACAACUUUGGAGCAACCAAGCUGCCAGCAGCUUUCCGCAGGCUGGUAGUAUUGAGUUAAGAGUUUGGGGAGCUAUUUGGAUAUGAUUUAAUGCUCCAUUUUUGAAAUAUACUGCUUGCACUUGUGUGGGGAGAAGUUAGAAGUUAGCCCAUAUCUUCCUUGAGCUGGAAUUGAAGGUUAGUGGCCUAAAUUUUAAAGUUGAUCAAGGUUGGUUCAAUGUUGGAAUUUCAGGCUGAUUUCGUCCAUUGUCAGAAUUCAUUAAUGUUCAUAUAAAUUUUCUAUAGGGACUAAGCUUUGAAAAGGUUGGGAGUGAUCUUGACUUCGUCCUCUACUGCAUAGAAUCUUGUUUGAAUCAAUUCGGAGGUAAAAUGAAUGAGAAAUUCAUUUUUCGUUAAGGUCGAAGACCGAAAAAUUAUUUUUCGUCGAUGCUGAAAUUUGGACCUUUAUCUUUUAUUUGUGAUGGAAUUUCCUGGGGAAUAAAGGUUUUUCUUGUAGUGGAAACCCCUAAGAUCACUUGUGGACAAGUACCAAUUCCCAAUUUCGUUGUUGGUGGGUUGGUGGAGCAAGAAUGAAGUGCGAUUCACUACUGGUAGCUUAGAAGCAAGCAGCGGCAGCAAUAGUAGAAAUGGUAGCUGGAUUUUGGGGGAGAAUUGAUGGAAAUUGAUUAUUCCAAUCAAACAAUUCUAGCAUCCUCAUGAAUCAAGUGUUGUAUGGAGCCAGGGGAGAAAGUUAUUGAGCUACAUUGUCAAUGAAGAGGGCUUCAAUUGAGGUGAUUUUGUUGUAAUGCUGAAAUUGAGAGCAUUUGAUUUUAUAUUGGGAGUUUUGACUCCAAUUCUCUUAUGUGAGAUUCUUAGGACUUUCUUGCCAAUCCACACCUUUAUGUUAGCCAAAUUGAUGUUGCCCCCAGCUGAACUUUAAGGUACAUUGGCUCAAUUGUUGUUUCCAAGUCGAAUUUAC